rnacentral:rRNA from 1 species
CCGAGUGGCGGACGGGUGAGUAACGCGUGGGUAACCUGCCUCAUACAGGGGGAUAACGGUUAGAAAUGACUGCUAAUACCGCAUAAGCGCACAGUACCACAUGGUACGGUGUGAAAAACUCCGGUGGUAUGAGAUGGACCCGCGUCUGAUUAGCUAGUUGGUGGGGUAACGGCCCACCAAGGCGACGAUCAGUAGCCGGCCUGAGAGGGUGAACGGCCACAUUGGGACUGAGACACGGCCCAA